AGGAGGAAAGGGCGUGGCUGCGGAGAGCAGAGUUGACAAACAGUGAGUCAGGUGGCCCGGGGCGUGGGCGCUCCGCCCGCAGGUGCAUUGCGUCCUGGCGGCGGUGCGGGCCUGCGAGGCCCACCUCUCGGCUACCCAAAGCCCGGGGGGCCUUUUCCCACAAAUGCUGGGGACCUUGCGAUAACUGGCUCGUAGCUGCUCCCACUGUCCUACCAAAUCCUGAAUAUCCGCCUCCUUUGCAUGCCAUUUACCGCCAACCAAAAUCCAGCGCCAAUUUAGCCUUCCAGCUGCAUCCCUGAUCGUUUCACUACCAUACUUAAAGCCCUUUGGACUCCCACUGACCUACAGUGGCUCCAUGGUUAAGCCCAGAAGUUCUGGAAUCAGACCUGGAGCUUGCAUUCUUUACCAGCUGUGUGGAUUUGGACAAAUUAAUUAACCUCUCUGAGUCUGUGUGCACCCGGAGUUUCAUUUGCAAACCAGGGUUCCCCUGUCAUCAUCUCAUUUAAGUCAUGGGUCUGGUUUGAGGUCACGAGGCCAAUUCGAGAGGCACAGUUCUGCAAGGAUGAAAGAUGGGAGUGGGGAAGACAACAAAGAUGGACGAGCUGGGGCCAUGAUGAUGAAGACGAUGAUGAUGAUGAUGGUGGCCGAGUGCCCUGUGAUUUACAGGCCCAUGUCGUUUCAUGUUUGCAGCAGCCAAUCAAGCACUCCCCAGGCCUUUAGAGAGGACAUUCUCCCACUCUCUUUUAUGGAAAGCCAUGGAAUCUUCUGUGUGGAUGCAGCCUGGGCAGCCAGAGAGGGGUGGCCACUGAGGCCUGGCCCUGGCCCUCACGUGGCCGCAGCUGACCCCUCCCCACCGCAGCUCUCCAGUCUCCUCUGCAACGUGACAGCCCUGGCUUCCCUACCGUUGGGAGGAAGUAUUUUUAGUUUUGAACCCACCACGUGAAGCGAGACAAGUUAUCAAUAGCAGCAGCAAAGGGCUUUUUCUUUCUCUUUUUUUUUUCCCCAUAUCUUUGGGACCUGAACAAUCUGCACCCAUUAAAUUCUGCCAAAAGAAAAAAAUAGUGUUCCUCUUAUAAACUUUUUACCCCACAGCUUCCUUGCUGCUGCAGCUUUGCAAACCCACUCUUCCUGGGGUGACCCCACCUGUCUCCGCAGCCCCCCUCUCCACUCCUGGGCACUGAGACCUGCCCGGGAACAGGCCCAUCUGAGCAGAGGGCCAGCGUGGGGCUCAGGCCACAGCUCCAGAGUGGGUGGAAUGAGGAGCUGGGGAGAGGGGAGAAGGCCCCCAGUUUCCCACUCACAGAGCUGGCAGCAGCCGCAGCCUCUCCUGAGUGCUUGCUGCAUGCCCAGGGCCAGGCCCAGCUCCUCUGAGUGCAGCAGCUCAGGGACACGCCCCACCCCACAGUGAAGGGCGGAGAAGGCGGCCUUCCCAGAGGUCUUUCCGGCUGUAAUUCCUUGUUUCUGGAGGAAGGGGUUCCUCAGUCAAGUGGGUUUGAGAAAACUAAACAAAGUGAACAGGGGCCCUCCCCAGCCUUAGGCUUCCCAGCGCCCGCACCACUCAGGGGCACUUGGAGGCUCCAGGGCCCAGGAACCAGCACCCGCCCCACUCAGGGGCACAUGGAGGCUCCAGGGCCCAGGAAGGGCCUGAUGCAGACCCCCGGCAUAUGAGGAUGGAAGUCCUUUUUCUAUGAAGUUUCUUUUUUUUUUUUUUUUUUUUGAGACAGAGUCUCGCUCUGUCGUCCAGGCUGGAGUGCAGUGGUGCCAUCUCGGCUCACUGCAAGCUCCGCCUCCCAGGUUCACGCCAUUCUCCUGCCUCAGCCUCCCGAGUAGCUGGGACUACAGGCGUCCACCACCUCGCCCCGCUAGUUUUUUGUAUUUUUAGUAGAGACGGGGUUUCACCGUAUUAGCCAGGAUGGUCUCGAUCUCCUGACCUCGUGAUCCGCCCGUCUCGGCCUCCCAAAGUGCUGGGAUUACAGGCUUGAGCCACCGCGCCCGGCUCUAUGAAGUUUCUUGCAGGACACUGGAGUGGCUUCCUGCCUUGCUGGGGGAAGCAUUUGAGCCAACAUGGCUGCCUGCCCUUUAGGACUGGUUAGAGCUGCAUUCCUGAGAAAGCUCAGAAUAACAGAGGCUUUGACAGGGUAGAAAUGUACUUUUCUCUCAGGUGACACAGGCCUAGGCUGUCCGGCUGGCAGGGUAUCAUGCAUCCUCAGGGACACAGCUCCUACCUUACUGUAUCACUCUCCUAGUGCUAGCUUCCAGCCUCAGUGUCACCUCCUGGCCCAAAACAGCUGCUGGUGCUCCAGCCAUCACAAGCACAGCUGACCAGAAAGGAGGAAGGAAAAGAGGAAGAGCAAAAGUGCUGCCCCUUAGAUGAGUCAGCUCCCUUUGAGGAUCUGUCCCUGAAGACACACCCAGCACUUCUGGGUGUGUCACAUCUCACUGGCCAGAACUCCAUCCUAUGUCACUUUUGGUAGGAUAGCAGCAUUUUAGCUAAGUGCAUUGCCAGCCUAAACAAAACAUGGGGCUACAGGGAGCAGGUUAGAGAUGGCCUCACAGCCAGGCCUAGACCAUCCCAGGCCCAGAAAUGUGGACAUCUCCAGAAGUGACCCAUAACUGCCCUGCCUCGGAAGAACCGACAGCCGCAGAUGCAAGACAGAGCGCCUGGUACACAUUCCCUGGCAUGCCUGUGGCACGAGGGCUGUGUUCCGACCCCAUGCCCCAGCGUGGUGCUGCAGUGGCCACUUCAGUGUUGGCCCUGGAGUUUCCCUCUUCCCGGCUGCGCCCUGACUGAUGGGAAGUGGGUUCCUGCUCCUUCUCGAAAUACCUGUUGAAAACCUGCUGCACUCUGCUGGCCCCACCCUGGGCGCUGGGGUACCUCCAGAAGCAGGGCACUCACCCCAG
ensembl:lncRNA